CACGCGGUGGGCGGCUCUGCCGCGGGGCGGCGUCGCGGCGCUGUCACUGCGGGGCGCACGGACCCGCGCACGGUCAGUCCCUGGCCGGGGCGGACGCGCGGCUGCGGGGCUCCAGCGCCUCCAGUAGAUGAGGCGCUCUGGGAGGGCAGGGGCCUGUCCCACCCGCUCUGGGCCCUGCUCCAGCCCCGGCCUGUGCUGAAUCGAGAACGGCACGCUCUCUGUGUCUCCAGCACCCCCUGCCCUCUCGCCUCCAGCCAUGGCGCCCCUGCUCGCCCUGUUGCUGGUGGCCCUGGUGGGCCUGCCUGUGGCCCAGGCUCUGGAGUGCCACGUGUGUGCCUACGAAGGAGAGAACUGCUUCAACCCCAUGCCCUGCCCGGCCAUGGUCGCCUACUGCAUGACCACGCGCACUUACUACACUCAGACCAAGAUGAAGGUGAGCAAGUCCUGCGUGCCCAGAUGCUUCGAGACCGUGUACGACGGCUACUCCAAGCACGCGUCCACCACGUCCUGCUGCCAGUACGACCUCUGCAACGGCGCUGGCCUCACGGCGCCCGCGACCCUGGCCCUGGCCCUCAUACUCCUGGCCACCCUCUGGGGUCUCCUCUAAAGCCCUCUCCCGCCUCCGCAGACUGUCCAGCACAAAGCUCUGAGCAGCACGGACCCCACCCUCUGCCCUCCCAGACCCCCCAGCCACACCCAGGACUGUCUGCAAGAGAACCCGACCUCCCCUGGCCACCCUGGGGUCAGCUUCCAGGUCACGACCUGUUACUUCCAAAAGGCUCUUGUGGGACCACGCCUCCUGAGGCAUCUGUCCAAGGAUGGGGUGCAGGCAGAGCUGUGCUGGAGGGGGAGGCGAGAUGAGGGACCCAGGGGUGGUGGACAGUGGUAGGACGAAGGCUCUCCAAGGCCCCAAAGGGGCUGUCUCUGUGUCCCUGACUGAGGCCGGAGCUGCCCAGGGCAGGUGUGGCAUGGGGGCUGAGCCACGAAGGCCUGUGUCCCCUUUGGCUGUCCCGGGGAGGGUGCCAGCCUCUGUCCAGUGGCCUGUGGCAGGGGACGGUGUAGGUCCGCCUAAAGAGACCUUCCAGCCCCAGGAGUGGAUUCUGGGUCCAGUGCGGGGGUCUGUCCCUUCUUACUCAGCCAGACCCUUGACCUUCCCCCUCCCCACCCAGCACUGGGCGGCCGCAGGACAGGCCAGGCUAUAUUUGGUCAAGCCUGAGAGCUGA
rnacentral:lncRNA from 1 species